CCUACGGGUGGCAGCAGUGAGGAAUAUUGGUCAAUGGACGAGAGUCUGAACCAGCCAAGUAGCGUGAAGGAUGACUGCCCUAGGGGUGGUAAACUUCUUUUAUAAAGGAAUAAAACGAGGCACGUGUGCCUUUUUGCAUGUCCUUUAUGAAUAAGGAUCGGCUAACUCCGUGCCAGCCGCCGCGGUAAUACGGAGGAUCCGAGCGUUAUCCGGAUUUAUUGGGUUUAAGGGGAGCGUAGAUGGGUUGUUAAGUCAGUUGUGAAAGUUUGCGGCUCAACCGUAAAAGUGCAAUUGAUACUGGCAGGCUUGAGUACAGUUGAGGUAAGCGGAAUUCGUGGUGUAGCGGUGAAAUGCUUAGAUAUCACGAAGAACCCCGGUUGCGAAGGCAGCUUACUGAACUGUGACUGACAUUGAUGCUCGAAAGUGUGGGUAUCAAACAGGAUUAGAUACCCCAGUAGUC
rnacentral:rRNA from 1 species